CGCGCAGGCGGGCUAAUAAGUUGGAUGUGAAAGCCUACGGCUCAACCGUAGAACUGCAUCCAAAACUGUUAGUCUAGAGUGUGGGAGAGGAAGAUGGAAUUAGUUGUGUAGGGGUAAAAUCCGUAGAGAUAACUAGGAAUACCAAAAGCGAAGGCAAUCUUCUGGAACAUUACUGACGCUGAGGCGGGAAAGCGUGGGGAGCAAACA
rnacentral:rRNA from 1 species